rnacentral:tRNA from 1 species
AGCUCUGAGGUGUGACACAUUAGAUUGCAAAUCUAAAGUAGCCGGUUGACGUCGGCCGGGGCUU